UAAUUCAUAAUAAGAGGAGCGUACACGUUGUUCCAUUUCUUUCGGUGAAAUCCUUCUCGUGAUUACAAGCGAGUCACGCCGCUUAACGAUGCCGUUAAUUGACCCGCCCGCAAAGAGUGCUUCUACCUCUCCUUCUCUCUUCUCUCCUUCUCACUUCUUCUCCGCGAAAUCCACGUGCGGUAUUUAUUCCAUGAUCGCAAACGAGCCUCGCGACUUACAACGUCAUUAAUUGUCGUCUGUACGGAAAGACAACAAGUUCACAAGCUUUCUGUCAACGUUAAACCUGUUCCAUGCUACAAACGUAUAACUGUAUUUGAGGUUAGGUGGAUAAACGCCUAAGGAAACAACGCUCGACAUCGGUGCAAAACCAUCGACUGACGAUGACUCGAGAGACAAUAUUUUGAAACACGAUAUAUGAUUAUAUCAAGAAUUUGAAAUGUUUUCUUUCUAUCAACGAAGAAUAUAUUUAAUGGAACUGUCCAUUAAUUAAUGGGAUUGAAAUUCACGAAAGUACUUGUAUGAAAAAUAAAGAAAGAUGGAAGAUUUAUUAUAAAGAGAACGGAACGAAUUUUGUAAUAACGCACGAUAAGCAAAUUUAUUGGUAGGCGAGCCGUGCUGGCAGAAAUAUGUAAUUGCCGACGAAAAAGCGCGGGGAACCGUCGCACACACGGCCCACUGACUUCCGAUGCGAUCAACACCGGCAUGGACACACAAUAUCCAACGUUAUAUCGCCACCCUAAUUAUAAUUAGUUCGCUAAUAAUUGCGCCUUGAAUUCUAAUGCAGCUGAACAGCCUGGGAGAUGGGCUUUUUGCAACUAACCGUCGUGUCUCAACGGUUACCAUACGUUGAUACGAACGGUGGUCGCCAUUUUUUUUUUUGGAAUCGGAGGGGAACCAUUGAUCUCAUCCAUUAUUCAGCCUCGUGAAAAUCGCAUUGGUUAUAUACAGGAUACAAGAUGUUUAAUGAUUAAACAUGGAGAGUUAAAGCGAACUUUGUAAAUUGGAUGUUUUUUUUUAUCUAAUUUAUUUAGAUGAAAAUCAAAGAAAAAUGAUUAAAAAAAAGAUUUUAUUUAUAUAUGAUAUCAAGUUGUGUUACAACUUCUUUUUGAUUAAUUUUUUUUUUUGUAAAUGUAUCAUACUGUUUCAAAAAAAUGUCAUUAUGUAUUCACAUAAUUAAGUGAAAGGAUAAGUGUAAUCGAAUUGAUACGAGUUGAUCAAGAUCAGGAAGUUUUUCCAGUUUAAUCAGGAUUAAAUGGAAAUAUAAAACGUGCCAACAUCCCGUCUGUCGAAAUUUAAUCACGCACUGACGAUCGUUGUCUCUAUAAUUGGCUAAAUUUCAGUUGGACAUGGCGACGGGGGAAUAUUCUUGUUACGAGAUGAUUCACCUGUUGAUUCCAGAGGAUAAUAUCCUAUCUGUCCAUAGAAACGCAUCUUUUUAAACUGAUAACGAGCUUGAAUUUUUAAUUAAUUACAAUUGCCAUCCAAUUGACUUCUUGUUUCGAGGAAAUCACAAAGUGAACUGAGUCAAACUGAGAGAACUUAAUGAACGGUCAAUUAACGUUGAAAAAUGUGUGAAAGAUAUGGGACAUUGAUCGAAAAGUUAUGUCAAAAUUAAUCUCAAGCGAGACCUGGAUCGAGGAAACAAACCACUGUUGAUUGAAAGACCGGAAAUUCCGGGAUAGUCAGCCAGUAACCUCCGAGAAACGAAGAAAAUUAUUCGUCACUGUACAGGAACACCUGUCAGUCGUGGUUGCAACAUGUCCUCGAAAAGAUCGUGGAUCGAUUGCACCUCCAUUGAUUAAUUAACCGAUCAAACUGUCUAAAGAAUUUAAAAGAAUGUCGUCGUAUGACUAAUUGUAUUCUUCUCGCGGGACAAUCGAUCAAUCAAUUUACGACUUUUAUAUUUGGAUAAUCGAUAAUAAUUAAUAAAAAUAUUGUUCAUCUAAAUAUGAUGAAUACUUUGAUGGCGUCGGUAUAACAUUUGCUUCGUAGCAAUGAAACGAAAAAGAGAUUAAAUAACUUGAAGAUUUUAAUAAAUGCGAUGACACAACAAGGUCCGUGAGAAUGGUACCAUGUUUGUGACGAAGGAACCGUUUUAUUGUAACUCGACUUUGCGGUUAACUAUCAUAGAAGUUAUUAAAAACCGCAGUUACAGUCAUACAUAUUAAUGAACUGGUUUCUAUUCGUCACGCUUUUAAUUUACAAGAUCUUAUAUUGUCUGGCAUUCCCAAUGAUUCGAAUUACCUACUUCUGAUAAGACUGGUUCCUGAGAUCCUGCUACAUUAUCUCUUCAAUUUUCUCAAAAAAUUCCCAAGAGAAAGGAGGACAAGAUUCAAGUUUACUUACAGGAAAAUGAAUUUUCAGAUAAAAGCCAACAAUGACAAUAUCAGAAAUCGAGAACACCUGGAAAAGAACCACUAACUGGUUUAAAAAAAAAAAAAUCUCCUUGUUGUUUGUCGGCCUUGAGCGAUACUGCUAUCAAACGUUUGACCAUGGAAUCUUUAACUAAGGAUCUUAACAUCGGCUCACACAUUCACUGGCAAUGUUUCUGAAAUAAGCAUAUUGGAGUUGGAUGGAAGCAAGCCGGAGAAGAAAACACGGGGAGCAAAUGGGAGAGAGAAGGAGAGAGCGAAACGAAAAGAUGAAAGGAUGGAACGAGAGGGAAGAAAGAUGCAUUGCACGCGCGGAUGGAAGGUGCGGACGUACACCUGAGAGCAGGUGCAUCGCAAGGAUACGUAUAUUGGUUGGAACAAUUUAUGAUUGUUUAUCAAGUUGCAAAAUGUAUAUGUGAUCAUUUUGCAAUUUUCUUUUUUUACUUGGAAGAAACAUAUAUAUGUGACCUUGGAGAAACAGCAAUUUGCAUUAAAUAAAAAGCCAUGCGGGCUUUAUAUAUAUAUAAGAUAUUUUGGGUAUUAAACACAUUAUAGUAUCGAAAACUAACUUCUGGAAAUUUAAUUUGCACAUGUUUCUUCGAAUUGGAUUCACCUUUUCAAUCGCUGAAUAUUUAUGGCCUUGUUCCGUUACUCCAGGGAAAUAAUAAUCUUUUAAGUGAAAAUAUAUUAAUCUUUUCAUCUGAACUCGAUCAAAGAGAAUCUAGGUGAAUAGUCCCCUUGCUUUGUUGCAUCGAAGAAAUAAUUUAUUUCUCCAGCUGCCACGAUUAGUUCCACUCGACAGUUUCUAGUUCUUGCAAAGGAACCUUCAGGAACAUUGUGAAUGCCGUUUGUAUAAAAUGACCAAGUCCGUUAAUAUUUUAUUAAUUCUGUCGAGGAGAAGAAGUUAAAAGAUUCUCUUUCGAUAUCUCUAAGGAAUAAUUGAAUCACAAUUAUAAGAAGGAAAGAAUGGAAGAAAAAGAAAGGAAAAAAAAAUAUGAAAGAAUUGAAGAAUUGUAUUAUUAAGCCGUAUUAUUAUUAUUAUUCUAUCAGGUGCAACGAUUAUUCCCCCUCCAUACACAGAAGCCCUUACUUUAUCGACGGAUCUUGGAGAGUCGAAAAUGAAAAGGGCGUGAAGACAGAAACACAAUAAUGGUAGAGUUGCCACGGCGUCAAGUCAACCGAUACGUGGGCGGUGCAAAAAUGGAGAAUCGAAACGCUGCGUUGGCCCUCUGUCUCGAAACCAGAGAGAGAAUGAUCGACAUCAAAGGCAAUCACGCAGAUGAUGACGCGACUCCAGCCAGCAGCUGCUUGCAUCGCGUCGAUGAUCAUCGCCCUCGGGUUUCAGGCGUGCCUCUGUCGUCUCUUGUCACGACGUCUCCGAUCGUGUUGGAAUCUCGUUUCCAAAGAAUUCCUCGGUCCUUUCGUAUAACUACGUACGAAUCGAUGAUUAUAACGCGAUGGCCUCCUCCUGGUUUCACUCGAUACGAAAUUCUGCGAGUUUCUUGGGUAACGGGUGAAAUUUUGAUGAGAUACUCACGAGAGUAAUAAAGUUAUUUGGAAAUUAAAAUGAAUGAAUAUUAUGAACGAUAUUUUAUCAACUUAUUAUCAAGAUUCAAUUUUCAUAAAAUUAAAAUAAAAAAAAAAAGAAUUAAAAAUUAUUAUUUCAAAAUUUUAAAAUAAUCAUCGAGAGUUUUGUUGUUAUUAACAUUCGAUCAAGGAAUAUAAUUUACGUGUCAAUGAAGAUGGAUAAUGAAUAAUAUCAAUUUACUAAUUUCGAUAAAUUACAGUUUCCUCGUUAUAUGUUAUUUUCUCAAUGUACAAAAAAAAAAAAAAAAGAAUUGUAGAAAAUGCACUUUUAUACCAAAUAUUAUACCGAAUAUCAGUCUAUAAUUUCGAUUCAUUAUCAUAUAAUAAUUCACGAUUAUUUUCUCUUCUUCUUUAUCGACCGAAUCAUAAUGGAACAGUUAUGUGUCUGACUUUCUCUCGACAUCUUCUACUGUCAGCGUUAGGUCAGUGCCGUUCUUAUUCUUAUUCUUUUUCUUUUUCUUUUCUUUUCCUUUACUUAUUAUCUAUGAUAUAUAUAUAUGUAUAUUUUCUUUGUUCUAGGAACAUUACACGAUAUUUGUAAUAUUAAAUUUAAAUGGUAUCUCGGGAUAUUUUCGUGAGUUUGCGCUGAAAGUACAACAAGAAAGAAAUAGCGCUCGUUUAUACGUCGGUGACACUAGCGUUGGUUCAUCCAUUAUUCACCGUUCAUCCAUUUACUUCAUUUACCUCGUUCACUUCGGUGUAUCGUCGCAAAAAACCAGUAACCAGACACUCGUAACACGCACGUCGCGAUGCAAGGAAUGUACCGUGGAAAAUAAAUACGACACAGGAAUCUCAUUUCUGAGAAAGUAUUUUUUUUCUUCUUUUUUUUUUGCAGAUUAUUUCUCUCUUCCAUUUCGCAUACGCGUGUGAAAUCUUGUGGUCGAUGUUCUUCCAAUAUUGAACUAUUCCAAAGUUUUACAUACUUGAGAUUUUAAUUUUGACACAACGCAAAUAAUAAUGGAGAUAAUUUAAAGAUAUUUCGUGAAAGAAAUAAAGGUUCUAAAAAUAAUGUGAACAUUAAUAAUUAGUUAGUGGCCAUUUGCAUCGUUUAUUGCUAAUAUAAAUACCAUUCUUUUACAAAUUGAAUCGAAGUAAUGACGGUCCAUAACACGCGUAAAAAAUAUUAUCUAAUCGAGCCUAAUGACGGAAUAAUGCUAUAGCAUUCGACAAAUUGUAAUAUCUUAUAGGAAUGGAAAUAGAGAAAGAGAGAAGAGGCAGAAGAAGAGGCAAGAGAAAAAAAGUGAAAGAACGAGGAUCGAUGGAGAAUGUAAGUUUUUAUUCUUUUUUAUUUUUCACCUCCAUUUCUUUGAACAAUCGGUUUGAUCGAUCGAUUUAAUGAGAAAAAAAAAAGAAAAAGAAAAAAGA